UACGUAGGGUGCAAGCGUUAAUCGGAAUUACUGGGCGUAAAGCGUGCGCAGGCGGUGAUGUAAGACAGGUGUGAAAUCCCCGGGCUUAACCUGGGAACUGCAUUUGUGACUGCAUCGCUGGAGUGCGGUAGGGGAGACUGGAAUUCCUGGUGUAGCGGUGGAAUGCGCAGAUAUCAGGAGGAACACCGAUGGCGAAGGCGGUUGCCUGGGGCUUUGCUGACGCUGAGGCGCGAGAGCGUGGGGGAGCGAACUGG
rnacentral:rRNA from 1 species